GCUUGCUAGCUAACUUGUUAGCACUCACAUGAGGGAGAAGCUAGCGUGGCUAGUGAUUUUACCCACGCACCGCUGCUGCUCCAACAAGGUCAACGGGAAGGAUCCGUCAUUGAAGUUGGAACUCCCACCCAGUUGACCACGUGAAAAUGGAUGGAAGCCCUCAAUGGCGCUGCCCAUACAAGUUCGGCCUUUUGGCCACUAGAGGUCUCUAUCAUUCUUCAUGAUCCAAUACGCUCUCUAAUGCUGCAUCGUGCCUGUAUUGCUUGCUGUCGAGUCGGUUCAAUUGUAAAGUCAAGAUGGCUUCUCGUUUGAAGGUCCUCAGAGUGUUCAAAGCACUGCACAGAACAAGAAUGGAGUUGUUCAAAGAAGAUACCAGAGCAUUGACAGGUAGUUAGUUGGCUAUUAUCAAAUGAGUUGCUAGAUAGUAGACAGUUUAUUAUUUUUAAUAAGUGGAAUCAGUUGUGUAGUACUAAAUAUAUGGUAAUGUUACGCAUUACAAAACAUUAAGAACACCUGCUCUUUCCAUGACAGACUGAUCCAGGUGAAUCCAGGUGAAAGCUAUGAUCUCUUAUUGAUGUCACUUAAUCCACUUCAAUCAUUGUAGAUGAAGGGGAUGAUACAGGUUAAAGAAGGAUUUUUUAAAAGCCUUGAGACAAUUGAGAGACGGAGUGUGAAUGUGUGCCAUUCAGAGGGUGAAUGGGCAAGACAAAAUAUUUAAGUGCCUUUGAACGGGGUAUGGUAAUAGGUGCCAGGCGCACCGGAUUGUGUUAAGAACUGCAACGCUGCUGCAUAGUAUGGUUCAAUCAAACCACAUGUCAACAAACUCUGUCCGUGCAUUUGUGACAUAUUGAACAAAAUCGUUGCAUUGUCAUGCAAAAUGUCAAAGUAGCUGCAGCAAAAUCUAGCAUUUUACACGGCAAAUAUCACCAAAAUCAAUUUGAAAUCCUGGAGGGAUUGACUAUAUACGAUAUGUGUAGUAGCAAUGACUGUAACAGCUGUUUGACCUGACUAGCUUUUAAAAAUAUUUUUUAAAUGUUCAACCCCCUAAGCUGCAAGACGAAAGAUAAAUGAGGAAUUCAGGAAAAACAAAAAUGAGACUUCCGAGGAAAACAUCAGUCAGAUGAUUAAAAUGGCCGCUGGUGUGGAAGUGUUUCUUCGCCAAGAUGUCGUACAAGCCGAGCAUGUAGCUGAAGAUAGGAUUCAACUCCGACCUAGAGAGAGCCUUCUUCUGGAAAACGUACCGUACUGCGAUACACCUAGGAAAAGGUCUUCUUCCAACAAUGCACCAAAACAAAGUUGUAACGAUGCACCAAUUACACGAUGUGAAUGACCAACAAUAACAGCUGAAGACUUUAUUUCUUACUCCUCUGGAUUAAUUUUUGUGUAAUUUAUAGAACAUACAGUAUGUAAUUUUAUGGUGUGUGUGGGGGGGGUGUGUGUUAAGAGUUUGUCAUACAAAUGUGGAAGCUGUAGAUUUGGCUUUGAAAGGUCAAAGGUGAAAUUCAUUGUAAAUUCAAUGCAUAUUAUUUUGUUUGCUGCUAUAUAUGUUGGUUUAUUGUUGAAUGACUGUUAUUUUUAUUUAUUUUAUUUUACCUUUAUUUAUUCAGGCAAGUCAGUUAAGAACACAUUCUUAUUUUCAAUGACGGCCUGGGAACAGUGGGUUAACUGCCUGUUCAGGGGCAGAACGACAGAUUUGUACCUUGUCAGCUCGGGGGUUUGAACUCGCAACCUUCCGGUUACUAGUCCAACGCUCUAACCACUAGGCUACGCUGCCGCCCCAGUUAUGCCAUAACUGAGUUGUGUUGUAUGACUUUGAGAACAGUACCAGAUUUCGUAUCGUAAUACUCGAUACCAAAAAGAUACCAAGGGAAAAACAGAAGGUGUAUUAUCCAUUAGUCACGGAGUGGCACUUGAUCCAGACAAUUUUUUUGAGUUCAGUAUCAUUACAUUUGAAUUGUUAUAUAUUUUUUUUAUGUAUACAUUAAUUAAUCAACUACACAUACGAACAAUGUGACUUUGCUAAAAAAAAAUCUAACUACAUAACAAUGUAUUUGAGUGGUCAAUCUAGUCUUUUGAUAAUCUGAGUAAAUCAAAAUGUAGCCUAGGCCUAUUUACAAUACAGAUUAAUGCAUAUUCAAUAGAAGUGUGUGCAUGCAUUGAGUUAUUGAGCUUGUUUUGGCUGAUUUCAUGGAAAACAAUCGGUUUCCCUUCAAUUUGGGACUUGUUUUAUUGUACUGAUCAACAUUUUAUAAAAUUAGAUAUUUCUUCUUCUAUACAAGUGCGCGCGCUAAAACCAUUUUAGAUCAUUCCAUUGGUCGUUAAGUGAAUUCUCUACCUACCCGGGGCACCGUGCCAUGAAAAAAGGAACUCCACCACUCAGGUUCGGGGAUCGAGCAAAGAUGAUCUUAACUGGGAGAGACGUGACGAAUAAUGAUUCGGAUGACUAUAGGCUUUGAAGUCAGCUAUAUUUUGAGUUAUGGUUUGCAAGCAAGGUGCGAAUUACACCUUGAUAUCUUGAACAUUUUUUACGGGCCUGGAAAUGAAUUAUCUUUUGAUGUGGCAUGAAUAGUUCCAGUUCACGUACCAGUUAUCAAUAUGUAUGCUGGAUAUGCAGACUAAGCUUUGAACUAAGAGCGCUAGUUUACGUCAUCAAACUAAUGGACAUUGUUGCGGUGUUCGCAUUAUUCAUGCGUGUUAACGUCUGUACACGUCUGUGAUCCUCUCAAUCAGUAGACGACGCCAGUGACCACAGGUUAUGCUGCUUGCAUAAUAAGUGGGAAACUCGGAAAAUACUUGUAAACUGGAAGAAAAGAAUUGUGUGCGUUCACGUGUUUUGAACUCGUUGAUAACACAGAUUAGUUCAUGGCAAACAAGCUGCAACAACCAUCAAAUAAAAGUACAGAUAUCAUCCUCGUAAACAAAUGAA